rnacentral:sRNA from 3 species
AACCCCCAGCUAGGCUGGGGGUUCAGUAAAGCUUUCAGCUUUGGGUCAGUUAUAAAAACCCCUUUUGAUUUGUUAAAAC